rnacentral:rRNA from 1 species
AUUAAACGCUGGCGGCAGGCCUAACACAUGCAAGUCGAGCGGAUGAAGGGAGCUUGCUCCUGGAUUCAGCGGCGGACGGGUGAGUAAUGCCUAGGAAUCUGCCUGGUAGUGGGGGAUAACGUCCGGAAACGGGCGCUAAUACCGCAUACGUCCUGAGGGAGAAAGUGGGGGAUCUUCGGACCUCACGCUAUCAGAUGAGCCUAGGUCGGAUUAGCUAGUUGGUGGGGUAAAGGCCUACCAAGGCGACGAUCCGUAACUGGUCUGAGAGGAUGAUCAGUCACACUGGAACUGAGACACGGUCCAGACUCCUGCGGGAGGCAGCAGUGGGGAAUAUUGGACAAUGGGCGAAAGCCUGAUCCAGCCAUGCCGCGUGUGUGAAGAAGGUCUUCGGAUUGUAAAGCACUUUAAGUUGGGAGGAAGGGCAGUAAGUUAAUACCUUGCUGUUUUGACGUUACCAACAGAAUAAGCACCGGCUAACUUCGUG